rnacentral:rRNA from 1 species
CACGUAGGGCGCAAGCGUUGUCCGGAAUUAUUGGGCGUAAAGGAGCUACGUAGGCGGUCUGUUACGUCGUGCUGUGGAAAACCCGGGGCUUAACCCUGGGCUUGCAGUGGAUACGGGCAGACUAGAGGCAGGUAGGGGAGAAUGGAAUUCCCGGUGUAGCGGUGAAAUGCGUAGAUAUCGUGAGGAAGACCAGUUGCGAAGGCGGAUCUCUGGGCAGUUCCUGACACUGAGGCACGAAGGCCAGGGGAGGCAAACGGG